rnacentral:rRNA from 1 species
GACGAACGCUGGCGGCGUGCUUAACACAUGCAAGUCGAACGGAAAGGCCCUGCUUUUGUGGGGUGCUCGAUUGGCGAACGGGUGAGUAACACGUGAGUAACCUGCCCUUGACUUUGGGAUAACUUCAGGAAACUGGGGCUAAUACCGGAUAGGAGCUCCUGCUGCAUGGUGGGGGUUGGAAAGUUUCGGCGGUUGGGGAUGGACUCGCGGCUUAUCAGCUUGUUGGUGGGGUAGUGACUUACCAAGGCUUUGACGGGUAGCCGGCCUGAGAGGGUGACCGGCCACAUUGGGACUGAGAUACGGCCCAGACUCCUACGGGAGGCAGCAGUGGGGAAUAUUGCACAAUGGGCGGAAGCCUGAUGCAGCAACGCCGCGUGCGGGAUGACGGCCUUCGGGUUGUAAACCGCUUUCGCCUGUGACGAAGCGUGAGUGACGGUAAUGGGUAAAGAAGCACCGGCUAACUACGUG